rnacentral:sRNA from 1 species
CACACCCUUUCCAUAAUAUGACUAAGGACAUUAAAAAAUUCAUAGGAGACAUUUCAUGCACACUUUAAUAUGGUCUGAAAGUUCUUGUUUUGUUUGAACUCAUCUACAAUAGUUAUUUUGAUGCCCUUUUCUUUCUAAGUAAGAUUAAGAUAUUGGUCAUUAUGUUGCCUUUGAAAAUGGCUUUGUCAUCAAAACCGGCUGACAGAUAUCUUGAAAUACAGUGCUACAAAUAGCCCACCUGCUUUAAAUUCCUGUGUUGAACUUCUAGGAUGGUGGUUUUAAGGAAGUUUCCUCCAUGCUGACUGGCUCUCGGAGUCCUGAAAAGUGCUAUGUGGGCUUCUGAGAGGUGGAGGAGCUUCAACAGUCUUACACCGCUGUGAAUCCUGUGAACUACAAUAAUGACUGGUCCAACAAUGAACACCCAUGGGUGUGUGUGCUUGUGUCAUGAAUGUAUGGUGACCACCAAGUGCUUUCUGAAUGGAUUUAAGGUCUUGCUCCAUGACAGGAAAAGAUAUGGGGUAGAGAAAAUCUGAAGAACAAUCUGAUUGGGGAGCUAACUCUGCUAGCAAUGGCAGAACCCUCUACUAUUAUUCUGCUAAGAAACAUUGUAUCAAAAUACCCUCUAAAUUUGUAUCUCUACCCACAGAAUUUGUAUCUCUCUACACACAGGUUAGUGCAGCUCCCAGACUUCAUCCGGAAAGUUUCUUUGUGCAGUGGGCAGCAGUUAAGACAGAAACUCACAGCUGGUCAAAGUAUAGAGGUUAAAAUGCAAGAGUACUCAACCACAAAUGAGGCACGCAUAUCAGUGCCCAAGCCCUACCACGGCACAAGGACUGUCUGGAACAAGGACUGUCUUGGAAGAAGGGUAGAAGCAUUGCAAGAGUCAGAGGUCAGAGAGAACCAGAACCAAACAGUGUCUUCUGGUUAUGACCACACUUGUGAAUUAGAAGUAGCUCUGGUUACCUGUAUGAGAUCAAGACAGUCAACAUUCUAGUCUGAAGGUGGCAGAGGCUCAUAAGUCUUCCCUGCUGACUGAGGAGACAUGGAUAGUUGAUGGCUUUGAAGAGAAGUGGAAUCUGUUUUCUUCAAGGGUGUGGUCUCUGGUAGGUUAACCACACUUUAACAGAUGGUCCCACACCCAAGAGUACAUAAGAGACAAUGGGACAAAAUGGGAGGGAGUGACGUGGGGUUGGGAGGUUAGAAAGGUGCGGUAGAGAGGAGAGGAGUUAGGGGUGGGUGAAUAUGAUCAUACCUAGAGAUACAAAUUUACAGGGUAUUUUGAUACUAGGUCAUGAAUAUAUUGUAUACAAUUCUCAAAAAGUCAACUUAAAAAGGUUAUUUAAAAUGAGAGAUGGUCUUAAAGUCAGACUAUCUUCCUUGAGAAUCACUUGAAGGUAAUAAGAAGGGAAAUUUUUCUUUUAGUGAAAACUUCAUUUUUUUUCUUUUAUUAAUCAGUCAGGAGAAUGCCCCCACACUACUAACCAGAUGGGUGGUCCAACAAAAAUAGAGCAAGUGGGGUUACCUGUAGUAGAAAGGGGAGGAGAUGAUGCUGUGGCCUUGGGUCUUGGGUUAAAGGCCAGAACAUGUUUCUUGGUGAUAAGAAACACCCUGGUGAGCAGAGAGGAAGAGCAGAGAGAAGAGCUUGUUUGCAGCAGUAGAGCAGGGGCACAAAGCUGCUACUAAAGCUAAUGUUGAGAAUGAGAAACCACACUGACCAGGGCGGUUACAGCUUGUUACUGUAGUAACCAGCAAACAAAUAUUCUACUCCGAGUUCCCCAUGGGCUGGGAAGAGGUAAGGAUUAAAGGACCAGCCAGUAAGAGUCAGGGGUGAUCAGGAAAGGUCUAGUCCCAUGCUCUUCCCAACAAAAACCCCCAAAGGUUGCUGAUCCCAGAAAAGUACACUUCCCUCAAAGGUAGCUAAUCAGAGGAUCAAAAGGAACUGUCUCAGGAAGUAUUCACAGUAGCCCAUGGUAGGAAAAGAGAGAACUACUCACAGUAGCCUAUGGUAGGAAGAGGGAAAGAAGAAAACAGCCACAGAUAGAACACUUACCAUCCAGAAGCAGACAGGAACAGAAAGCAAACACAGGCAAUUUGAAAGUUCUAAUGAGUCGAUUUGCUCCUCCCAAACAAUUAGGUAUAAAAAACAGGGAAUGAAUAAAGGUCAGCCAGCUCAUCUCAGAAGGACGCAGGACACCACAAAUGCACCCCGAAUCCCCGACAAUGCCUGAGUAAGUCUGUGGAGACUCACUCUUACCUGAAAACUCCUAUCACCACAUCUAAGCCUGUCCUGAGUACUUCUCACUGAACAACGGUCUCCUGGUCGCUGAUGCAGCAUGAUCGGCCGGCUUCACUCUUGUCUCCAUGCCUUCCCCACCGUGAUGGAUCAGAGUCCCUCAAACGGGCUCCGAUUUACCAUUCUGCAGAGAGAGCAACCACCUCCAGCCCAAUCUCAAAAUCAAGUCCAAACGCUGUCCAAAGUCCGUGAAGUCUUAGUCCAAUGCCUUGUUUGGUUUCAGUCAUCCUUUUUCGCUGAGUUUGCAGUCCAACUCCUUCUCUCGCAGCUCUGCUAAUAUUGUCCCUUAAUUCUGCUUUGUAAUAAAUACCAUCGGCUUUAAUGUGUCUUGAAGGACUGCGCCAAGGGCUCCUGGGAUCCCUAUGAUCCCUAUGAUUCCUCAUCAACUUGACACACUUUGAAUCACCUAGGAAGACAGUCUCGGGAAGGGACUAUCUAGAUUAGGCUGGUCUAUGGGCAUGGCUGUGAUGGAUGUCUUGAUUCCAUUAACUGAUAUGGGAAACUUCAGCCUAAAUGUGGAUGGUGCUGGUCCCUGGGUUUGGGUCCUAGGUUAUGAAGGGAAAAGAGAGCUGAUCUGGCAGGAAUGUAUGCAAAGCUCUUGACUGUGGGCGUGACUUUCUGCAUCAAGUUCCCGACGCCUUGACCUCUGUGCAAUGGUGGACUUGAACCUGGAUUUGUAGAAUAAGUUACAUUUUGCUUUUGUCACAGCAACAGGGAAUAAAACUAAG